GUCUAAGUGAUCAAACUACAAUUAGGGUCUAAUUGAUUAGAUCAGGCUAGAAUCUAUUUUCGAUUUUGAGCAGUUGAUUGAACCUAAUCGAUGGUUGAUUAGGAUUAGAUCAAAGGGACUCAAAGUUGAGUUUAGUUGUAGUUGGUUGCAUCGAUUCAUAUUUUGAUGUGAAUUGAUUGAUUCAAGAUCGAAUUUAGCUUAGUGAUUCAGGCC
rnacentral:lncRNA from 1 species